GACGAACGCUGGCGGCGUGCUUAACACAUGCAAGUCGAACGGAAAGGCCCUGCUUUUGUGGGGUGCUCGAGUGGCGAACGGGUGAGUAACACGUGAGUAACCUGCCCUUGACUUUGGGAUAACUUCAGGAAACUGGGGCUAAUACCGGAUAGGAGCUCCUGCUGCAUGGUGGGGGUUGGAAAGUUUCGGCGGUUGGGGAUGGACUCGCGGCUUAUCAGCUUGUUGGUGGGGUAGUGGCUUACCAAGGCUUUGACGGGUAGCCGGCCUGGGAGGGUGACCGGCCACAUUGGGACUGAGAUACGGCCCAGACUCCUACGGGAGGCAGCAGUGGGGAAUAUUGCACAAUGGACGGAAGCCUGAUGCAGCAACGCCGCGUGCGGGAUGACGGCCUUCGGGUUGUAAACCGCUUUCGCCUGUGACGAAGCGUGAGUGACGGUAAUGGGUAAAGAAGCACCGGCUAACUACGUG
rnacentral:rRNA from 1 species